rnacentral:tRNA from 1 species
GAGGGUAUAGCUCAAGUGGCAGAGUGCAUGCUUAGCAUGCAUGGGAUCUUGAGUUCAAUCCCUAGUACCUCCU